AUGAGCUGGUGUUGCCUCCCAAGAGCCAAGAAACAGCAACAGGAGAAGAAUCUCUACUUCCAUAGGCAACAGGAGAAUCUCAACUCUCAAACCAGCAUAAGCGGCAUUUCUGCUGAGAAGAACAUAAGGCUCUUCUCCUAUGCUCAGUUGAAAUUAGCAACCAACAACUUCGACCGCAACAACAAAGUCGGCCGAGGUGGUUUCGGGACAGUAUAUAAGGGAACCCUACCAAACAAGCAAGAUGUCGCGGUCAAAGUUCUCUCUGCCGAAUCCAGGCAGGGCAUCAGAGAAUUCUUGACAGAAAUCGACGUUAUCAGCAACGUGAAGCACCCUAACCUUGUUGAAUUGAUCGGCUGUUGCGUCGAAGAAGAAAAUCGCAUUUUGGUGUAUGAGUACCUGGAGAACAGCAGCCUCGACCGUGCACUCUUGGCUUCUAACAGUGAUCCGGCCAAUUUUACUUGGAGCAUAAGGUCUUCCAUAUGCAUCGGUGUUGCGAGGGGUCUUGCAUACCUGCAUGAAGAGAUCCCAUCACCGAUCGUGCACAGAGAUAUCAAGGCUAGCAAUAUACUCAUCGACAAGAAUUACGUACCCAAGAUCGGGGACUUCGGUCUGGCCAAACUAUUUCCGGAUAAUAUCACCCACAUCAGUACCCGAGUAGCUGGAACGACAGGUUACCUUGCACCUGAAUAUGCAUGGCAUGGUCAAUUGACUAAGAAAGCAGACAUAUACAGCUUCGGGGUCCUCGUAAUCGAGAUCGUCAGCGGCAAGAGUGGCUCGAGGAGCCUGCUGGCUGAUGACAAGUUUCUUCUAGAGAAGACUUGGGAGCUGUAUGAAGCAGGGAACCUCAAGGAACUGGUUGAUCCAGAUCUUGGGGAUUACCCUGAUGAGGAGGCCAUCAGGUUCAUCAAGGUGGCCCUCUUCUGCACCCAGGCGGCGGCGGCGCGCCGCCCUUCGAUGCUACAGGUGGUGAAGAUGUUGUCCAAGCCAAUCCGGAUCAACGAUAGAGAGCUGACAGCGCCGGGGUACAUCAGUGAGUACAAUAGCGGUGUCUCCAAGGCAACGGCCUCCAGCGACUCGAGGUUCAAGAACUCGACCACAGCGGAUGAUUCCGACAUGUUCAGCACCGUCGUGCCCCAGACGGUGACCGACGUCAGCCCUAGGUGA
rnacentral:rRNA from 1 species